rnacentral:lncRNA from 13 species
UCUUUUUUAAAAUAAUGACAGGAAACUUUACAUUAUUUAAAUAAUUGUGCUUACUGUAAAAUAACUAAAUGACUUACUGAAGCUUUGUUGUUAGGAAUGUGUAAUAACUACUAGUUCCAUAUAGUAAGCUGUAUUUUAUGAAGUCAAAAUAAGAAAGAUAUUUCCAUAAUUCUUCUGUUUUUUUUUAUAACAACCUAUAUCAUACAAAAUGUUUAUUUUUAACAGCACAUGAUGGCUAUUGACAGGACAUAAACAAACAAAAAUAAAAAUUUCACCCAAAGACCUGAUCAUCUGUAGAUUGCCUAUGUAAUCUAGUCAGAGCAAAUUUUGACAUUAUGAGCAUUAUAAAUUCAAAACAAACACAAUCUUUAAUAUGAAUAAUAUCAUAAUCUGGCUUUGUUAAUAAUUUAGAUAAUCACUGAAGGGAAACAAAAUGAGAUUUCAAAAGUGCGAAUUGUGUGCAAUUUUAGAAGGUAAAACACACAAUUUCUUUUUUCCUUUAGUAGGCCCAUAGCCAAGCCAGUGAGAGACAAUUCCAUGGGAGACAAAUUAGCUCAUGCAGCUCAGAUGUCCUGGAGACUUUCCACAGACCACUUGGCCAGUGCCUGGACAAGGUUGGGCCCAAAGAUACUUGCAGCUUCUUGUGUCACCUAUGUUGGUACACUCCCUUUUGGAAGACAGAUGUCAUUUAAGAAAUCCAGGUGACCACCAUUUUGUGAGGAAGCCCAAUUUUCCCAGACGGCGAGGAAGAGAACACAUGAAGGAGUACAUGGGCUCCAGAGAUAUAAGAUGCCAGAGGCAUCCAUGUCUCCUGCUGCCCAUAGUAAUCGAGGCCCUGACACUCCAGCCACUUCUGUGA